GGGCAGGAUGUGUGUUGUACCGGUACGGGCAAGCCCGCACCAGUCCAACACCGCCCCUUACUCACCUGGGGUUCGACGGCAUCCUGCUCUGCGAGGCU
rfam:Rhodospirillum rubrum ATCC 11170 plasmid, complete sequence.